rnacentral:tRNA from 1 species
AGCAGCAUGGCGCAGUGGUAGCGCGCGGGGCCCAUAACCCCGAGGUCACUUGAUCGAAUAUUGAUCGAAACAAGUUGCUGCUA